rnacentral:misc_RNA from 1 species
GCCAACUAUUCAUACGCCAGCCGUGGAGAGUAACAGUAAAAAUGGGUUUGAUUUUCCUGAAAUUUUGACAGAAUUCAGACAAAAACAAAAAGGAUUCUUGGACCAAAUUAAAGACAGUAAUAUCCUUAAGCAUCUAAUCGUCGUGUAUUUAGUCUAUUGGUUAAAUAACCGCCCAAAAUCGUCGAAAAUUCACGACCGACCUAUAUUCGGUCGUACUACUAUAUAAUCGGCGUCUUGUGCGUCGACGGCGUCUAAUUUCACGUCUACUUAGCGUGCUAACGACCGGAUAAAGAUUGUAUUGUGCAAACAAAGUUAUGUCUCAAGAGGAGUUAGAGGAUGGUGAGCUGGAAGAUGGGGAAGUAGAAGAUGAACAAAUAGAAGAACAGGAACUCGAACCGGAACAAGUUUGUGAAGAAGAAAAGAAAACAGACAAACCAGACGAAGGAACAGAUAGCUCAGAAGGUCAAGGACGAGUAAAGAAAAAGAAAAAAAAGAAACAUAAACGAAAAAGAGACAAAGAAGAAGAGGAAAGAAAAGUUAAAAGACAAAAAAAUAAUGAAGAAGAUUACACAGAUGAUGAAUGGGAUAGCUUUUAUGGGCCUGUUGGCUCUCCUAAUGACAGACGACGAAGGAAAUUCUCUGACUCUCCAACGAAUUUUCGAGAAGAUAACGAAGAUAGAGACGACGAAGAAAGAGAACGAAAAAAAUUAUCAAGAAAGGACACUGAAGAGCUCGUAGAAGACGAAGGUGAUAAUCGGGCUCCAGGUAGAGGUCGUCGUCGAUCAGGGCGAGAGAAAAGUCGUCUUGGUAGGGAAAGAAGUGUUAGGGAUAGUCAAAGAGUUUGUAAAUACUUUCACGAGGGACGAUGUCACAGGGGUGAUAGCUGUAAGUACAGACACGAAAGAGCAAGGCCACUGCGAAGAAAGUUGGAAUUGUGUAAAUUUUUCCUCAAUAAAAUUUGUACAAAGGGAAGCGACUGCAUUUUUAUGCAUGGUGACUACCCCUGCAAAUAUCAUCAUAUGGGAAUGACGUGCUAUUCUGGAGAAUCCUGUAAAUUUAGUCAUUCAGCCCUGACGGAAGAGACAAAAAUUAUAGUGGAGAGGAUGAAAUCCGAAAGACGAAACGGUGUUAGCAUGGCUAAUUUAGACGAGGUGCAAAAAACAAAAGAUGAUGAAAUACCACCUCGUCAAGAUCCUCCAAGGAAAAAAGCGCUUUUAGGAUCACCUCCCGAUCCUUUUAGAAAUCAAGAGCGAUUGAAUUUCAAUCCUAUGGAUCAAAAUGUAAUUAAUCAUCCUAUGCCUGAAAAUCAAUUUCCUCAAUUUAACGGUCCUCAAUCUAAUCAAUUUAACCCGCAAUAUAAUAAUAUGAAUCCUCCUGGUCAAAGAUUUAGUCAGGGAUCUAUCCCACCGCCAUACAUGAACCAGAAUGCAGAGAAUAAUCUUGGUGAAGGUGAGAAAAAACAGAGCGCAAUACCUUCUAUCUUCGAUCUCGAUGUUAGGCCAACAGCUUCCUUAAAUUUGCAAAAUUUCGAAAAAUGUCCAGCAACACCUCCAGGAGAUGCCGAUUUUGGAUCAGAAGAUAUCCAGCAUAUACAACCUCAAAACCUAAACCAAAAUCAACAGCAAUUUCCAAUAGAACCUGAUCAGCCUCCAUUUAUGAAUCGAAAUGGUCCUAUGGGAUAUGGGCGUCCUCGAUUCGAGUCCUUUCCUAGCAGACCGGGCUUGCUCGGAACCGCUCCUGGUAUGCCUGGUGGAGGUAUUAUUCAACAAAAUAACAUGAAUCAGAAUAUGUACUACAGACAAAAUUCAGGACAAGGGCCGGGUCAGGGUCCAAGACCCGACUAUGGUCCUGUUGAUUCUCUAUUGGGGCCUGGUGGUGGGGUUGUACCGCUAUCUAAUUCUCCUGCUCCGCUUGGUACUGCAAGAAAUAUUUUAGACGAAGCUCUUUCUUCGGCUAGAAACGAAAGUAAUAUGGAGAAUCACGCUCCUGCUGAUCCAAGAAAGAGAUCUGAUUCAGCUCAAGCAUGUCAAGUAUCUGCUGAUCCUAGAAUAAAUCAAUCAUCUACCGUUGCCUCAACUCCCCCUGUAUCAGUUCCUGAGCCAGUAUUAUAUAAACCGGUAGAAGAUUUUCAAGUAUUCUCUGAAGAAGGUGAUAUAAAGGAUUAUGUCCUCAUAGAAGUAUUGGUCGAAGAGCAUCAGAGAGCGGGAACCUUGCCCGAUAAAUUCGAAAUCAACGCAGAGAGCCAUUAUAAAGAUGAUCCUAGAAUUAUCAAAGCUUUAAAAAAUCGACAAGACAAAUCGAAAUUCAAUCAAAGCACGACACUCCCCGAGCUGCCUGAUUUAAACGAAAUUCCUAAAUCAAAAAGUCUAUCAGCCCCGUCUGGUGUAAAUAUUCCUGCUGCACUUUUGAGACCGCCUUCUCAGGAUUCCGUUGAUGACCCUCCCAACGCAAUUCAUAAAAGAACCCUUAGUGCGAGCUCUGACGAGCAAGAGAGCAAAAAGGUUGACGAUUUAAGAUCAUAUAGAUCAGAUCCCCGAUUUAAAAAGAAAUCAAGAAAAUCAGACGCUAAAAUUGAAGAAACAUUAGAAGAAACUACGAUACAAGACGAUGAUGCUGAUAAGCCUCCACCAACUCUAUCCGCAUUAAAUGCAGAUUCGGAGGAUCCCUCAAGUGGUGUUAAAGAAAUGUUUCAAAGCUGGGAUCCUACAUCAUCACCUUUUUUGAGUUGUUCAUGA